ACCAGCCUAGGGCAAACCAUGAGCAUUUGUAGCCUGCAGCAAGGCAAAAAGGAUUGCCCAGAACAGCCUGUAGAGAUAUUUUAAUUACCCUUGGUGAACUGGCAAUCAACUUGAGGUAAAGAUCACAAGUGGAGACAAACUCUAAGGGGAAUUUUUAUGCUUGGAGUGAAAUUUCAGCAGCAUUUUUUAAGCAUUUCUAAUUGGAAUGGUUUAACAGCCAUCACCAAAUAUCCCCAAAUCAAAACACUUCUAAUGUAUACGGAAAGCAAAUUACUGUUACGCUGUCCUAGUACUGUAUUAUGAGAUGGAUGAAUACAGUGCUGUAAAGGAAUAUGAGUAACCGCCUAACCAGGGAGAUCUUUCUGAGCAUCUUUAUAGUUAGAGGAAUUUUUUAAUGGACUGUGAAUCAAAAAUGUAUUUAAUUUUUGUUUUCCAGACUUGCCAGUGAAAGAAAGCCUUGCACUUGCCAGAACGCUUUCAGAUCAAGUCAUCUUUGCCAGCCAGAGCAGUCUCUUCUUGUCUGCUUCCAAGAGGCAUGAGCUUAAACAACUGGUCUCAGAGUGGGGUGUAUCUACAGUCUUAACCACGAAGAGAGGUGAUGAAAUGUUCUCCUCUUCAGUCUAUACAGAAGAGACUGGAGCUAAGCUGCUAUCUUCAUAACAGUAAAACUGCAGUUCAAUCUGAAUUCUUUGUUCAUGUUUCAUUGCUUCUUUUGAGGAAAACAGUGAUCGUGAGAUCAGACAUCAGCCUCAGGUGGAGAGGCCAGUGUGCAGCCAGUCCCAGUUACCAACCUGGGUAUCCAUGGGGAAUAGGGCUGACAGGAGCUCCUGCUGUGAUUGCCGUGGAGGAAGCUGGAUGUAUGAGCUUCUCCAGAGCCAGUCAAGGGGACUGCAGGUGAGAUGGAGCAGGAGCAACUCCGAAGAGCCUGCAGGUUCCCAUGAAACACAAACUGCCCUGAAGAACCUAGUCUUUAGGGUGGAAAUAGUGACACGAAGUGGCGGCGAAUCCCACCGGGCUUUUGGUUCACAAGUCGCAGCUCUGCCUGCCGUGUGCCAGACAAGAGGAAACCCAGCAACCUGUUGGGAACCUCGGCCGCUCGGGGCGGAAAGGAGAGGAGGAGAAGCCUCCCGCUGCAUUGUCUGGGGCGCUGCCUCCGUUUCCGCCGGCUGAGCUCCAGCCCUUGUUUUGCAGCACGCCGCGUGGAGUUUUAUCACCUUCAACAAUGAAAUCUGUCACCUUCAAGCUGCUUUAUUGUAAUCUGGGGACUUUCGCCCUGUCCGCUGUAACCCUGCUCCGGGCUCCUACCCCGCAGGGCUGCAUUCCCCACCACGCCAUCGCUAACAUCUAUCGAUUAGGCUCCUUGCUGAAACCAACGGUGUUAACUUUAGGGGCCGCAUUUGUACUUGUUUUCUCGCCGGGAUCAGAUAGUUAAUUGAUCUUCCUCGUCCUCUUUGCCUUGCUUCUGUCUUGCGUGCCUCUGAAGCCUCUUAUUCCGAUGGCUGCCUCACCUUCCCCUCCCCGCCCCCCUCCAAUGUGGAGGAUAAAAGCCGAUCAGACAUGCAGUACAGGCAGUAUUCAGCAGGUUUCCUGAUCUGAUAUUUGAAAGAAUGCAAGGUACAAAUACAGGUUUUGAACUAUGAGACCUUCCUGUUGCAUCGGUUACACACGUCUGAAUCAGAUUAACCGGCAUAUCUCAUCUCUGAAAAAAACAAUUUAAUGAUUAAACUCAGGGAAGGGUACUUCUUCAGCAGAUACAGCUUGGAUGUUACCACUCUUGGAGUGUGUUGUGUGCGGUUUUUUCCUGGUUUGCAAACAAUUUUCGCUUGCUGUUUUUCUAUGGCUUUUAUUGUAGAUGCAUUUUUAUUUUAGGGGUUAAGUCAUUUUCAUUUGAAAUGCACUUAUGUACAUUUGCAUACACAUUUAUACAGGCUAAUUAAAAACUUACCAUCAGAGUUGCUUUUCUGCUUACAAACGCUCUGCAGCAAAAUGGUUGUUGCUUUUUGGAAAUUGGAGCUUUUUGUAAAAUCAUUUGGUCAAAUCUUUGGGGUUUAGAUGUUCAAUGAAUAAUCAAUAUAUGCAGCAGAAGAUUUAAGCAAAAAGGGUUUUUCACGGAAGUUUUCCAUAGGAAAAAAUCUAUAACAUGUAUUAUUAAAUAUAGAGAGGCUUAUAU
rnacentral:lncRNA from 1 species